ACCCCCUAAUCCCGCCCACGACCCUUCCAGCCUGGACAUAGGUAUCUGUGCCUCCCACGAACCCCCUAAACCCCCAGGGACCCCUCCAGCCUGGACAUAGGUAUCUGUGCCCCCCACAAACCCUCUUAUCCCCCCUCCAGGACCCCUACAGCCUUGACGUAGGUAUCUCUGCCCCCACAACACCCCUAAGCCCCCCUGGACCCCUACAGCCUGGACGUAGGUAUAUGUUACCCCCAGGAACCCGUAAGCCGACCCCUAGAGCCUUGAAGUACGUAUCUCUCCUCCCCAGAAACUCCCUAAUCCCUUCCAGGACCCCUCUAUACCCGGGGACCCUUACAGCCUGGAAAUGGGUAUCUGUGCCCCCUAGAAAUCCCCUAAUCCCACACGGGACCCCGACAGCCUGGACGUAGGUAUCUGUGACCACAGGAACCCCCUAAGACUUCGAGGGACCCAACUGCCUGGAGAGUCAACUACCAGAACUCUGAAGUAGAGGGGAGGAGAGUGGGUCGUGGAGCACCGAUAGAGGGACACAUCUUGAAGAACCAUCGUUACCGCACAAGAGAAAAAUGUCCCUAUGUCCUGGAACCACGAAGAAGCCAGGCUCUGAGUUGCAGAAUCCGCAGGUUGGGAUGGAGGGUGUGACCCUUGUUCUGUGAUAGCAGGUAUGGAGUGAUUGGAAGAGUCAUCAGUGGACAUAGUGCCAGCUGUGACAGGCCCAGAUUCUGGAACAGAUUUAGUGUAGUCUGGGUGACUCACUGGGCUUUACAUGCCGAGAAGGCAGUUGUCUGGGCAGUAUAGAUCCCAAGGGAGCAAAGGGUUGUCCUAGAAUCCUUCAAUGUGUGAACAGAUGCAUCAGUCUUCUCAGCAAAUAACUUUGUCCCUUCAAAAGGAAGGUCUUCCAGCAUAGUUUUGACCUCUUUAAGGAAGCCAGCUAAGUGAAGCCAUGAAGCCCGUCUCAUCACAAUGGCUGUGGAAAUCAAGCAUGCCGCCAUAUCAUCUGCACUAGAUGCAGCUUGGAGAGACUUUUUUGCCACCAGUUAGCCCUUGUUGACUAUGGCCUUGAAUUGUUCCUUGUGAGAAUCAGGCAGUUGCUCAAUAAAGGAACCAAGUUUCAUGUAAUUUUUGGUAGUCAUAUUCUGCCAACAAGACUUGGUAGUUUGCUACGCGGAACUGGAGGGUGGCUGAUGAAUAUGCUUCCCUGCUGAACAGAUCCAAACAGGUCCAGUCCCAGUCAUAAGGGGUGGAUCUGAACUGGUGCUGGUGGCCCCUAGAGUUAACUGUGUCCACAAUAAUAGAAUUGGGAGACAGGUGGGAAAAAGAAAUUCCAGUCUAGGGCUCUGGGUGAACUUGGUACCAGGGCCCCGGUACUGAGAAGGGGCGAGUCUGGUGCGUUGGAUACUGAAAGAUCCGUCACUCACCGGAAAUCUGGCAGUGCAGAUAACAUCAGUACUGGCAGCGGUUGUCGGUGCUGAGAGGCUUUCAUUGAAUGAGUCAGACAUGUGGACCUGGCCAUGACAUGAGGACCUGUUGGUGCCAGAUGCACUGGAAUUGGUACCGGUGCCAAUGUCCAUACCGACAGAGCCUUCCCUGGGGCGGAUCUUCUAUGUUUUUCAUGCCCCCGCGGUACUGGUGCUUCUUUGUGUGUGCCCUUCGGGUCUUUGGGUAGUCUGACUUGCUCUGUCAAUUUGGUACAGUAUGCGCCCUGCAUACCAGUUUUAGACUGCUUCAGUGCCAUUAGUACCGAUGAUACUGAUGGAGCCGGAGAUUGUUUUUGGCUUGAACUGGGCUUGCUACAUGGACUCAGAGACCUUUUAAGAGGCCUUGUGUGAGUGGCUCGUCUCUCUGGGCUCACCUCCCUUCGAAGUAGAGGGUUGCGGCAAGAGCUCCCACUGGGACUCCAGGGGUUGAAGGGCCGAUUCCAUGAGCAGUAAUUUGAGGGCUAGUCUACACUACCAAGCUACAUAGGUGCAGCUGCAUCAGCGCAUCUGGUGAAGAUGCGCUAUGCUGACGGAAGAGUGCUCUCCCAUCGGCAUAAUUACUCCACCUCAAUGAGAUGUGGAAGCUACAACGUCAGGAGAACGUCUCCUGCUGACUUAGCGCUGGUGUGGACAUUCUUGCUAACAGAAUGUUGGGAAUCAUUAGGAAAGGGAUAGAUAAUAAGACAGAAAAUAUCAUAUUGCCUAUAUAAAUCCAUGGUAUGCCCACA